GCCCAGACUCCUACGGGAGGCAGCAGUGGGGAAUAUUGCACAAUGGGGGAAACCCUGAUGCAGCGACGCCGCGUGAGCGAUGAAGUAUUUCGGUAUGUAAAGCUCUAUCAGCAGGGAAGAAAAUGACGGUACCUGACUAAGAAGCCCCGGCUAACUACGUGCCAGCAGCCGCGGUAAUACGUAGGGGGCAAGCGUUAUCCGGAUUUACUGGGUGUAAAGGGAGCGUAGACGGUCCUGCAAGCCAGAUGUGAAAGCCCGGGGCUCAACCCCGGGACUGCUCUUGGAACUGCGCGGCUGGAGUGCAGGAGGGGCAGGCGGAAUUCCUGGUGUAGCGGUGAAAUGCGUAGAUAUCAGGAGGAACACCGGUGGCGAAGGCGGCCUGCUGGACUGCGACUGACGUUGAGGCCCGAAAGCGUGGGGAGCAAACAGGAUUAGAUACCCGUGUA
rnacentral:rRNA from 1 species